rnacentral:rRNA from 1 species
CGGGGUGCACCAGGCGCGAAAACUUUACAAUGCCGGCAACGGCGAUAAGGGAACCUCGAGUGCCAGGUUACAAAUCUGGCUGUCGUGAUGCCUAAAAAGCAUUGCAUAGCAAGGGCCGGGCAAGACCGGUGCCAGCCGCCGCGGUAACACCGGCGGCUCGAGUGGUAACCGUUAUUAUUGGGUCUAAAGGGUCUGUAGCCGGCAGGAUAAGUCUCUUGGGAAAUCUGGCAGCUUAACUGUCAGGCUUUCAGGAGAUACUGUCUGGCUCGAGGCCGGGAGAGGUGAGAGGUACUUCAGGGGUAGGGGGUGAAAUCUUGUAAUCCUUGAAGGACCACCAGUGGCGAAGGCGUCUCACCAGAACGGACCUGACGGCAAGGGACGAAAGCUAGGGGCACGAACCGGAUUAGAUACCCGGGUAGUCCUAGCCGUAAACGAUACUCGCUAGGUGUCGGCCACGGUGCGACCGUGGUCGGUGCCGUAGGGAAGCCGUGAAGCGAGCCACCUGGGAAGUACGGCCGCAAGGCUGAAACUUAAAGGAAUUGGCGGGGGAGCAC